CUCAUCGGCUCGCGAGGUUAGAGGCUGUCGUGCGGAAUGCGUUCGCUCGCGCAAAACAAGCAGCGCUCCGCUGUUUCCAGUAACGACACCCAAAACCCAAAGUUGUUCUGUCCCAACAAUCCUUCACCUCCCAGCGCAGAAGCGACACUAAUGUUUUUUCGGGGGUGUUUCCGCCGAGAGGCUGCGGAGGGGGGUCGUGCGACGGGUGGGAGACGAUGGAGUCGCGCAAAGAACGACGGCCAAAUGCUUCACAGUUGCUCUGCCACCUCCAGCUGCCUCUGCUGGCCUGCGAUCAGAAAGCUGUGAGAAGGCAAGACCCAUCGGCAUCUCCCAACUGGAUCACCUGUCCCCGUCCCUCAAACGUCUGACCCGAAUGACCCAAAGCGCAAGGUUUGGAAGGACGAGCUUCUGGGGACAUCAUCUGAUCGAGCUCCCGACCCACCGAGGCCGACUCUCCGUGCGUGGGCACGUGGCCAGUCCACCCCGCGUCCCUGUGAAAGUCCUCCAGCUUACCUCCUGGGCGAAGGGCCAGAGCUCCAUCCCGCUCACACGAGAAACCGCGGAGGGUCGGUGCGCUUGCUGCAGCUCAGUCCAACCGCAGAGGACCAGCACCGAGACACAAUCACGUGGACGGAGCGCCGUGACCCCCCUGGGAAAGCUCUUCGGCUUUCUCCAUCAAUUUGGAAAGCACAACGUCAACAGCGGCGCUCCCAGACUGGAGACUACAUCUCAGUGUGAGGGACUCCUGUAUGUGCGGCUGCCAGCGUCCGCUAGGGGAAGGUCCUCCGGAGCGUUUGGCCGGGUGACGAGUGAGACGGUUUCUGCGUGCCCCCGUGUGACGGACCCCCAGCGUGGGAUCGCAACCAGCCGAGGAGAUGAUGAGGAAAGCAGAUGCCUGAGGUAUGCAGCAGAUCAGUGCAGCCCCUCUCAGAUAUAGGUGGGUAGAGUUGUCCAGAAC
rnacentral:lncRNA from 1 species